rnacentral:lncRNA from 1 species
GUAAUCUCCAGAAUCUAUUCAAGAGAUAUUCGGAGAUUAGCUGAAUCCUACUCAAGAACAAAUUGACAGAUUUUUCCUCUAAAAACCAAAAAUUUCAGUUCAAAAACUUCAAAGCAUUAAAAGAAAAUUCAAAGAAUCAAGACAAAGUAGAAUGCAUAUGUUGAGGGGGAGAAUCUGAAAUUUUAAGAAAGCUAAAUCAUUAAUUAUAUAUAAGCCAAACAAUUGAUUGCAUGAUAUGA